rnacentral:rRNA from 1 species
GAAAGUAAAAGAAAUUUAAUUUCUGAAGGAAGAUGUGCAAUAUUUUUUUUUUAAAAAAUUUGCAUCGCAUUCCUGGGGCGCUUUAAAUUCUUUAUUGAAUUGAGGCGCACCAAUAGCGUACACAAUAAUACCCGAAAGAUGGUGAACUAUGCCUGGCCAGGACGAAGCUAGGGGAAACCCUGGUGGAGGUCCGAAACGAUUCUGACGUGCAAAUCGAUCGCCGGAGCUGGGUAUAGGGGCGAAAGACCAAUCGAACCAUCUAGUAGCUGGUUCUCUCUGAAGUUUCCCUCAGGAUAGCUAACGCUCAUGUUACAAAGAUUCUCAUCCGGUAGAGCGAAUGAUUAGAGGUAUUGGGGUCGAAACGGCCUC